UGGUUCUAGCAUCGAUGAAGAACGCAGCGAAAUGCGAUAAGUAAUGUGAAUUGCAGAACUCAGUGAAUUAUCGAAUCUUUGAACGCACAUUGCACCCUUUGGUAUUCCAAGGGGUAUGCCUGUUUGAUCGUCAUUGCACCAUCAAGCCCUGCUUGGUAUUGGAUGCCACCUUUAUGAUGCGUCUUAAAAUUAUUGGGCAGUGGCAUUUAACUUCUAGUGUAGUACUUCUCACUAGAGAGCUUAAAUGCUAAUCGCUUUGCAAACUUCAUGAUUUCAAGAGUUGACCUCGGAUCAGGUAGGGAUACCCGCUGA
rnacentral:misc_RNA from 1 species